ACAUUUACUGAGUACUCAUUGGAUCAAACACAAGAAUGUAAUGAUGAAGAAAAUAUUUUUUAUGAAAUUUACUUUCUACCGAAGGAGUAGAAAGUAAUCAAGGUGGAAACAGCUAGAGAAUCAGGAGGAGAAAAAUAAAAUUUUCUAUUUCGUACGUUCCUAGGCAUUUUAUCAGCUCACAUCAUCAAAAGAAGAAGAGUGAAUACAGUACAAGAAGAUAUUUUGAGAGAGAGA